UGGGGAAUAUUGCACAAUGGGCGCAAGCCUGAUGCAGCCAUGCCGCGUGUAUGAAGAAGGCCUUCGGGUUGUAAAGUACUUUCAGCGGGGAGGAAGGGAGUAAAGUUAAUACCUUUGCUCAUUGACGUUACCCGCAGAAGAAGCACCGGCUAACUCCGUGCCAGCCGCCGCGGUAAUACGGAGGGUGCAAGCGUUAAUCGGAAUUACUGGGCGUAAAGCGCACGCAGGCGGUUUGUUAAGUCAGAUGUGAAAUCCCCGGGCUCAAACUGGGAACUGCAUCUGAUACUGGCAAGCUUGAGUCUCGUAGAGGGGGGUAGAAUUCCAGGUGUAGCGGUGAAAUGCGUAGAGAUCUGGAGGAAUAACGGUGGCGAAGGCGGCCCCCUGGACAAAGACUGCCGCUCAGGUGGGAAAGCGUGGGGAGCAAACAGG
rnacentral:rRNA from 1 species